GUACCCCCCCAGUGCCCCCCAGUCCCCUCCCAGUGCUCCCAGUCCCCUCCCAGCACCUCCCAAUGCUCCCAGUCCCCUCCCAGUACCCCCCCCCCUCACCCCAGUGUCCCCAGGAGUCUCCGGGGGAUGGCAGCCUGGCCAGCCGCAGCAGCAGCACCAUCAGUGCCACCAGUGCCACCAGUGCCACCAACGCCUCGGGGCCAGAGGACGAGGAAGAGGAGGAGGAGGAGGAAGAGGAGGGGGGUGAGGAAGGGGGCGAGGAAGGCUCCUGCCCGCCCCCCGACGGCUCCGGCAGCGAGGCCCAGGACGCCCCGCCCCCCGAGGAGGAGGAGGAGGAGCCCCGCGAGGAGGCGGAGCCACAGGAGGAGGGGGCGGAGCCUGAGCCCGGCCCCCUCCCGGAGCCCCCCCAGCCCCACGGGGGCACCCGGCAGGAGGAGGAGGAGGACGCCCCCCCCCCUCCCGGCAGGGGCGGAGCCUCCCUUGGGGGCGGAGCCUGAGCUGGGGGCGGAGCCUCCCGCCGCAGGUGGGCGUGGCCUCCCGUGCUGGGCCGGCUGGGGAGGGGGCGGGGCCCUGCUGGGGGCGGGGCUGGCGCUGGCCCUCGCCCCCCCGGCCUUCCUGCCCCUCCCCCUGCUCCUCCUCCUCCUCCUCCUCCUUUUGGGGCCCCUGCUGGGUCUGAGGCCCCCCCUGGCCCCCCGCCGCCCCCUGCCGGUGCCCCAAAUCCCCCGUUUUUUCCCCCAAAUCCUGCCCCCCCUCCACGUCCCCGCCCUGCUCCUGGCCUCGCGCCUCCUGGCCUCCCCCUGGCUCUUCCUCCCCCUCUACCUCCUGGUGGCCUCCUGCAGGGGCCGGGGGGGGCUCUUUGGGGGUCCCCCCGUGCUGGGGAGGGGGCUCGGAGGUGGCGGGGGGGGGUCCCAGGGCGGGGGGGCUCCCCCAUCGCGCCGCCCGCUGGUGGCUGCGGGCGCUGCUGCGCCUCCCCCGGCCCGUUUUUGGGGUGCUGCAGGGGCUGGGCCUGGCCUCGGAGCGGGGCCUCUUCCGCCUCUUCCCCAAGGCCAACAAAUUGGGGGGGGGGUUCCGCUCCCGCCUCCCCGUGCCCCGGCACCCCCGGGACCGCCCCCCGGUAAUUUCGCCCCCCNNNNNNNNNNNNNNNNNNNNNNNNNNNNNNNNNNNNNNNNNNNNNNNNNNNNNNNNNNNNNNNNNNNNNNNNNNNNNNNNNNNNNNNNNNNNNNNNNNNNCCCCCCCCCCCAGCCCCCCCCCAGGAGGCCCUGGAGGUGACGGAGGCCGCGGGGCCACACCAGGCCGUGGUCCCGGCAAGGAGGGGGGGGGCGCCCCAUUUUGGGGACAAAACGCCUGUUUUUGGGACUGAGAGCCCCGUAUUUGGGAACAAGACCCCGCUAUUUGGGGUUAGAGCCCUUUUUUCGGGGUCCAAACCCCCCUUUUUGGGGCUAAAACGUCCCCAUUUUAGGCCUAAGACACCCCGUUUUGAAGCCAAGACCCCCCAUUUGGGGGUUAAGACCACCCAUUUUGGGGUAAAACCCCCCGUUUUGGGGCUCACACCAAACUUCUGGGGUCAAAACCCCCCAUUCUGGGGCCAAGACGCCCAUUUUGGGGCCGGGGGCCUCCCCGUUUUGAGGCCGGGACUGCCAAUUUUGGGUAAAAAACACUCACUUUGAGGCCGGAGACCCCCUUUUUGGGGCCAGAGACCCUCUUUUUGGGGCCGGGGACCCACAUUUUGAGGCGGAGAACCCCCUUUUGGGGUUGGGACCUUCCUUUUUUUGAGACCGGGGACCUCCAUUUUGAGGCCAGAACCCCUAUUUCGGGGACCUCCCUGUUUUUGGGCUGAAAAACCCCGUUUUUGGGGCUGGGGACCCCCCAUUUUGGGGUCAGACAACCCCUUUUUGGGGUCAAGCUCACUCCAAUGGGGCCGAGCCCCCCCCUUUUUACUGCUCCCCUCCCCCCUUUGUACUGGGAGCCCCUUUUUUUAUACUGGGGACCCCCCCUUUGACCUGAGGACCCCCCCCGUGGGGCCGGGGACCCCCUAUUUAUUGCCGCGGGGCCGCGUUUUGGGGCCGUUCCCCUCGGUUUCGGGUUCUCGAUGACUUUCUUCGUCCCCUGCUCCUCGUCUUGCUGCUCUGUCCGGCCGCCGGGGGGGGGGUUGUGUGGUUUUGGGGCUCCCUUUUAGGGAUUUUGGUGGUUUUGAGGCUCCCCAGAGGGAUCUUGGGGGUUUCAAGGCUCCCCUGCAGGGGGGUUGGGUGGUUUCGGGGCUCCCCACAAA
rnacentral:lncRNA from 1 species